AUGCCCAUGCCUAGCCCGGAGUGCCUUCAAGGGAGACACACACAUCUGGAGAGGCUCUUCAUCUUCCCUCAUGAGGUCCAGAAAGAGGCAGAGGGUGCUGAAUUGGCUCGGUUCUUGCCCUGCAUUCAUAGGGAGAAGCAGAAAGGGAAAAGUGAGGGCCAGAGCCACUGGGCCAUCCCUCCCUCUUGCCCAGCAGGAGGCAUCUGUGCCUUUCUUGUCCCAGUGCAAGCCCAUGGCUUCUGGCACGGAACUGCCCACCUCUGUCACCUUCCCCUCUUGCUCCACCACCCUCAAUCGACUUGUGCUUUCCUCCCGGUAGCUGUCACCCACAAAAGGCCAACUGUGCCACACAGUGUGCCACAAUUCAUCACGCAGAAGACCACACCUGUGACAUUGGCCAGCAGUACCUCCCAGACCUCUGUUUCCAGAGAAGCCAGCCCUGCCAGCAGUCCAGAAGUCCCACUGACAAAGACGUCUCCGAGCCCCAGCUCUUUACCUGUCACCUCAACCUCAUCUGUUUCUUCCUCCUCAUCUGCCCUGCCCUCAACACGGCUGAGACCAUCACAUCCCGCCUCCAAAACUACAUUGCCACCCGUGAGCACGGAGAAGACCACCCCAGCCACAUCUGCCAGCAGCACCUCCAGGACGUCCGUGCCCAGCGAGGCCAGCCCCGCCAGCAGCCCAGCAGUGCCAGUGGCCAGGACGUCGCCUGCCCCCAGCAGCCCUCUCAGCACCAGGCUGCCAUCUGCCGCCCCUUCCACAGCCUCCUCCCCGUCGCCCCCAAGCUCCCGGCUCAGACCCACGCCUACGACCCUGAGGCCCAAGCCCUCUCCCCCGAGGACCAGUGCUCCCACAGAGUUGCCUGCGUCCUCCGCACCCUCCACAGCCAAAACCAGCCCGCUGCCCUCAUCUACGUCCUCCCCGCUCUCAACUGUGUCCUCAGCAGUGCCGAGCUCCUCACAGCCAGGUAAGGCUCCCUGCUGCCUUCCUUCUGCUCUGCCUGCCCUUUACUGGUGUCGUGGUGUAACCCGGCCGGCACCUAAAGACCACGCAGCCAUUCGCUCACCCUCCCCCGGCUAGCCACCCCUAUAUAUUGUUCAGCAUGACGUCAGAUCAUAUGGAAUACUCCUUUGACUAGUUUGGGCCCCCUGUGCUGACUCUAUCCACCCCCCAGCUCCUGCUGCACCCCCAACCUACCCAUAGGAAGGACAGAGCAAGAAGCUGAGACGUCCUUGGCUUGGUGUAAGCACUGCUCUGCAACAAUUAAAACAUUGGGGUGUUAUCAGCACUCUUCUCA
rnacentral:lncRNA from 1 species